rnacentral:rRNA from 1 species
UCGACCUUAGUUGCCAGCAUUCAGUUGGGCACUCUAAAGGUGACUGCCGGCUAAAAAGUCGGAGGAAGGUGGGGAUGACGUCAAAUCAUCAUGCCCCUUAUGACCUGGGCUACACACGUGCUACAAUGGGCGGUACAAAGGGUCGCGAACCCGCAGGGGGAGCCAAUCCCAAAAAAGCCGCUCUCAGUUCGGAUUGCAGGCUGCAACUCGCCUGCAUGAAGCCGGAAUCGCUAGUAAUCGCGGAUCAGCAUGCCGCGGUGAAUACGUUCCCGGGCCUU